CCUACGGGAGGCAGCAGUGGGGAAUAUUGGGCAAUGGGCGCAAGCCUGACCCAGCAACGCCGCGUGAAGGAAGAAGGCUUUCGGGUUGUAAACUUCUUUUCUCAGGGACGAAGAAAGUGACGGUACCUGAGGAAUAAGCCACGGCUAACUACUUGCCAGCAGCCGCGGUAAUACGUAGGUGGCAAGCGUUAUCCGGAUUUAUUGGGUGUAGGGGCGUGUAGGCGGGAGCGCAAGACAGAAGUGAAAACCCAGGGCUCAACCCGGAGCCUGCAUUUGAAACUGUGUUUCUUGAGUGCUGGAGAGGCAAUCGGAAUUCCGUGUGUAGCGGUGAAAUGCGUAGAGAUACGGAGGAACACCAGUGGCGAAGGCGGAUUGCUGGACAGUAACUGACGCUGAGGCGCGAAAGCGUGGGGAGCAAACAGGAUUAGAUACCCGAGUAGUC
rnacentral:rRNA from 1 species